GGGGAAUAUUGGACAAUGGGGGAAACCCUGAUCCAGCAAUGCCGCGUGUGCGAUGAAGGCCUGCGGGUUGUAAAGCACUUUCGGUAGUGAAGAAAUUUCCAAAGAUAAUACCUUUGGAAGCUGACAUUAGCUACAGAAGAAGCACCGGCAAACUCUGUGCCAGCAGCCGCGGUAAUACAGAGGGUGCAAGCGUUAAUCGGAGUUACUGGGCGUAAAGGGCGCGUAGGCUGGUAUUUAAGUCGAUUGUGAAAUCCCUGGGCUCAACCUAGGAAUUGCAGUCGAUACUGAAUAUCUUGAGUAUGGUAGAGGAAAGUGGAAUUCUCGGUGUAGUGGUUAAAUACGUAAAUAUCGAGAAGAACAUCGGUGGCGAAGGCGGCUUUCUGGCCCAAUACUGACGCUGAGGCGCGAAAGCGUGGGGAGCAAAC
rnacentral:rRNA from 1 species